GGACAACCAAAAUAUUUAGAGAAAGAUUUUAUGUCUAUAUGCUGGUGCUAGAAGAAUGAAGAAUUAGAUAAAGGUUUAUUGGUGACUGCUGGUGCUGAUGGGGACAUGAAUAGAUCAAUAAGAGAACUCAUAUUUAGUUUUAUUUUAUUAUGCCAAACAUAGUUGCAAACUUGUAGUCAAAGAUUAUAUUUUUAUUCUGUUGUGGUCAUGUUUAGUUUAGUACUACUCUGGUUAUUGUGUUUUUACUUUGGUUGAGACAUAUAUUUUAAGUUAAAGGUUUGAGUUCUUAUAUGUCAUGAUGAAAUAUAUGUUCAUGGAACAAUUAUUUUGUAACAACAAUUAAAAUUCUUGCUACAAAAUGAAAUUAAAAAGGCGCUUGACAAAAUGCCCUUGUUGCAACAAACUACUAUGCAACCAUCGUUUAUUGUUGCAAUAUACAUUAUUGCUAUAAAGUAACCACUGCUUAUUGUUGUAAUAUACAUUAUUGCCACAAAUUUUAUGUGUUGCUAUAGGACGUGACUACCACCAACAAUGAUUUGUUGCAUUUUCCAUCUAUUACCACCAACAAUGAUUCAUUGCAUUUUCCAUCUAUUACCACCAACAAUGAUUCAUUGCAAUUUCC
rnacentral:lncRNA from 1 species